UGGGGUACGCAUAGGUUGCAAAUGGGCCUACAAAACCCAUGAAAAGGUUUCGAAUACCUUUACCCCUGCCA
rnacentral:tRNA from 1 species